rnacentral:tRNA from 1 species
UUUAAUUGAAACCAAAACUUGAGGUAUAUCACUGUUAAUGAUAAAAUUGAAAAAAAAAUUCCAAUUAA